AAUUAAAAUUAGUUAAUAGAUAACAUGGCCUUGUCAGGGCCAAAUAAUCAAAUAAUUGAUAUUUUAAA
rnacentral:tRNA from 1 species